AUUGAACGCUGGCGGCAGGCCUAACACAUGCAAGUCGAACGAGUGGCGGACGGGUGAGUAAUGUCUGGGAAACUGCCUGAUGGAGGGGGAUAACUACUGGAAACGGUAGCUAAUACCGCAUACCAUAAGAUGUGGCCAUAUGGGAUUAGCUUGUUGGUGGGGUAACGGCUCACCAAGGCGAAGAUCCCUAGCGGGUCGGAGAGGAUGACCAGGCACCCUAGAACUGAGACACGGUCCAGACUCCUACGGGAGGCAGCAGUGGUGAAUGUUGGACAAUGGGCGCAAGCCUGAUGCAGCCAUGCCGCGUGUAUUAAGAAGGCCUUCGGGUUGUAAAGUACUUUCAGCGGGGGGGCGUUACCCGCAGAAGAAGCACCGGCUAACUCCGUGCCAGCAGCCGCGGUAAUAC
rnacentral:rRNA from 1 species